UAAUAAGUGUUUUAUGGCACUUUUUAAAUCCAUAUCCACCUUGUGUGCAAUGUCAGUCGAUCUUCUUCAUGGAGUUCGACCAAACAUCAACUUAUCCUUGAACUCUUUGUCUGAAAAAUAUUAUGAAUAAACAAUUCAAAAUA
rnacentral:misc_RNA from 1 species